AUUGCUUCUUGGCCUUUGGCUAAGAUCAAGUGUACUAUCUGUUCUUAUCAGUUUGAUAUCUGAUGUGUCUUCUAUACAAAGGCAAUAUAUUAAAUGGAUUUUUGGAACAGGGAGAUGGAGCUAGGGCUUGCUCCUUCCACUCCUUGCAUCAGCCUGGUAUUGCAGUAUACCCAGGAACAGUGCAAUAAAA
rnacentral:snRNA from 1 species